GACGAACGCUGGCGGCGUGCUUAACACAUGCAAGUCGAACGGAAAGGCCCUGCUUUUGUGGGGUGCUCGAGUGGCGAACGGGUGAGUAACACGUGAGUAACCUGCCCUUGACUUUGGGAUAACUUCAGGAAACUGGGGCUAAUACCGGAUAUGAGCUCCUGCUGCAUGUUGGGGGUUGGAAAGUUUCGGCGGUUGGGGAUGGACUCGCGGCUUAUCAGCUUGUUGGUGGGGUAGUGGCUUACCAAGGCUUUGACGGGUAGCCGGCCUGAGAGGGUGACCGGACACAUUGGGACAGAGAUACGGCCCAGACUCCUACGGGAGGCAGCAGUGGGGAAUAUUGCACAAUGGGCGGAAGCCUGAUGCAGCAACGCCGCGUGCGGGAUGACGGCCUUCGGGUUGUAAACCGCUUUCGCCUGUGACGAAGCGUGAGUGACGGUAAUGGGUAAAGAAGCACCGGCUAACUACGUG
rnacentral:rRNA from 1 species